CUUCUUAAAUCAAACAGAUAACCUAAAAACCUAAUUUCAUUAAACUUGCCGCCUUCUUCUCCUCCUCCUUACACAGUUCAAUCACCGCCCAUCGUCAACCAAAAUUAUGAAACAAAUCAUUGAUGCGUUUAUCGAAGAACGACAUCAACAAUCCGAUGUUUCUGCCGUUCAUCGAACAAUUCGCAACAGUAACAGUUGAUGCUUUAGAUGUUCAUUUUUGGUUUUCUUGUUCGUCGGUCGCUGAAAUUGAAGAAUAAAUUCGCGGGUUGCUGGGAUUGAAGAAUAUCGUCGCUAGUUGUAGGAAUCGAAGAAUAGGAGCUGACAGAGAGGAAGCUGGUCCAUCGACGGUGAUGCUUUGCUGGGUUUCCUUUUACUGCUAUGGUUAGUCUCAUGUGGUUGGUUGUUGUUUUUGUUGGACGGAAGAGGUGAAAGAUGCAGCGGCAAUUCUGGGUUGUGUGGGCGGCGGUAGCUGCUGUUCUUAGAUUCAGCUUAGAGUCGAGGAACUGAAGGCGAAGUUCCUGGUUCUUCAUCAUCUUCAAUCCUUCUUGUAGUUAAUAGUAUUCUUUUGGCUUUUUUCUAAAACCAGGGAAAUUAUUAUCUAGAUUCGGCCCCCUAGACCCGGUCCACGAAACAUUUAUGGACCUAUCCAAUGAGGUGUUAGAGAAAUGAAAAAAAAAAUGAAUAGAGAGAAAAGUAAGUUAGAUUUUCUAACAUUUCAUUGGAUAGGUGCAUGGAAAAUUUAUGGAUCAGGUUUAGGUAAGAAUUUCCCGAGUGAACAUGAGAAGCUAAAGAAAAUCCCUACAUCAACAAUAACAAGUUCUGAAAAUCGGUUUUAUCAUGAUGUUUAGAUCUUUGAGUUAAAUUUUCAGGUAUUGAAUUGAACAACAAUCAUUCUUCCGCCGAAGUGGUCAAGUUCGACAUAUUAUUUUUACUAAGUUUAUUCGAUAUUGUACAUUCAAUUACUCGCGAGUCGUUAUUUAUGUUAAAUCUAGAGUGGGAUUAACUCUUUAUAUUGUCCUCAUUAUUAUGCCUUUUAUCAGCAUUAUACAAAUUUUAUAUUUUUAUUUUGUUUUC